UCCUCAGAAGCUGCACGUUGCUAACAGACGUUAACGCAGAUUUUAUACCGAAUGUAAUGUGUUUUAGAGACUUUUAAAACACAUACAAAGAGUUAGUUUAUCCUUGGAGGGUGAUCUAUCCGUUAAACCGUGUUUUUGUUGCCUCCCGUUCUUUGUUCGUAGCUUUUUAUACCACGUUGCUGAUCGGUAAACAGAAGUAAAGGCAUUCAACGGAGAUUAGUGUGUUUAACGGCAGUGUUUUAUCAAGGAGAAGAGAGACUGAAGAACCAGGACGAAGAGGAGAGAGAGAGAGACACAGCCGGAGAAGGAGCUCUGAGAGCAGCAUGGAGAACAAAAAGACCCCUGGAGCUCAGAGACACAGCCGGAGAAGGAGCACUGAGAGCAGCAUGGAGGAGAACAAAGAGACCCCUGGAGCUCAGGUCAGUGUGCACUUCAUCACAAUAUAUUCCUAACACUGUUAUCCCCAAAUGAAAGAUCACAACCUGUUUAGAAAAUACAAUAUUAAUGCACAAUAUGGUUAGAUAUAGGUUAGAAUGUUGUAUUGACAUUUUUUUUUUU